UGCGUAGGCGGCGGCACAAGUCAGGUGUGAAAUCCCCCGGCUCAACCGGGGAACAGCGCUUGAAACUAGGUCGCUCGAGUGAGGUAGGGGUGCAUGGAACUUCCGGUGGAGCGGUGAAAUGUGUAGAUAUCGGAAGGAACGCCGGCGGCGAAAGCGGUGCACUGGGCCUUGUCUGACGCUGAGGCACGAAAGCUAGGGAAUGAACG
rnacentral:rRNA from 1 species